GACGAACCGUGCGAACGUUGUUCGGAAUCACUGGGCUUAAAGGGCGCGUAGGCGGGCUUCCAAGUCUGGGGUGAAAUCCUCCGGCUCAACCGGAGAACGGCCUCGGAGACUGGAGGGCUCGAGUGAGGGAGGGGCGUGCGGAACUCAGGGUGGAGCGGUGAAAUUCGUUGAUAUCCUGAGGAACUCCGGUGGCGAAGGCGGCACGCUGGACCUCUUCUGACGCUGAGGCGCGAAAGCCAGGGGAGCAAACGGG
rnacentral:rRNA from 1 species